CCACAUAAUCCCUAAUGUUCUUCCACUUCACUCACCCCCCUAUAAGAACCCCUUCAUACAACCUUUCCUUUCAAUCUCUUUUCUCUUUCUUUCCUUAAUCAAUUUGUAAACUGUAUUAGGAUAGUACUAAGUCUGUUAAUUGGUAGUACGCCCGUUACAGGAGAAGAGCAGAUGGUGAGGGGUUGAUUGCAUAAGUUGGCUACUAUCAGAUGCUAAUCUGUCACAAUAUUAAAAGAGCCUUGAUUUAACUCUGAGAAGAAACGAUUUCUGACUCUGUUGAUUUCUAGAAAUGGCUGAUAAGGUCUCAAAUAGACCUUUAUGAGAUUUCAAAAAUCAUAAUGAUAUUCUCAGAAAUAUGCCAAGUAUUUCAGUUAAGUGUGAAAGUAAAGAGAGUAUAACUGCCAUAAAUUGAUCAAGGGUCUUCGCUGCUUGAAGCAUGUAAAUUAGCUGAGCAUUUUUCCUCAGAGUAGUCAUAUAACAUCC
rnacentral:sRNA from 1 species